rnacentral:rRNA from 1 species
UACGUAGGGUGCGAGCGUUAAUCGGAAUACUGGGCGUAAAGCGUGCGCAGGCGGUUUUGUAAGCCAGAUGUGAAAGCCCCGGGCUUAACCUGGGAAUGGCAUUUGGGACUGCAAGGCUUGAGUGCGGCAGAGGAGACUGGAAUUCCUGGUGUAGCAGUGAAAUGCGUAGAUAUCAGGAGGAAUACCGAUGGCGAAGGCAGGUCUCUGGGCUGACACUGACGCUCAUGCACGAAAGCGUGGGAGCAACAAGG